GACGAACGCUGGCGGCGUGCUUCAUACAUGCAAGUCGAACGAGAAGCAAGAGCUUGCUCUUGUGGAAAGUGGCGGACUGGUGAGUAACGCGUGAGCAAUCUGCCCUAUGCAGGGGGACAACAGUUAGAAAUGACUGCUAAUACCGCAUAAGACCACAGGGUCGCAUGACCUAGGGGUAAAGAGAUAAGUAUCGGCAUAGGAUGAGCUUGCGUUCUAUUAGUUAGUUGGUGGGGUAAUGGCCUACCAAGACGAUGAUAGAUAGCCGACCUGAGAGGGUGACCGGCCACACUGGAACUGAGACACGGACCAG
rnacentral:rRNA from 1 species